AUCCGACUGAGGAGUCCCAAAGAAGACGAAACGCGCGUCAAAUUGGAU
rnacentral:hammerhead_ribozyme from 1 species